GCAAUAAGUCCAGAGACAGCUUUCAUAUUUUUAUUCCAAUAUAUAAUUUAACUACAAAUGUUAUUAAAUUAAUCAUCACAACUAAGAACUGUCUGUUCUUCCACUUUAAAAUGGUAUUUUAAGAUACAGAACUGCAAACAGGCGCGUAGCUCCAUAUACGCUAACACGCAGUUGCGUGCACAUCGAUUCGGCAAGCAAAAAAAAUAAAUGCCAAAAUAAAAAUUUAUAAAUUAAUUGUGGUUAAAGGAAACACAUAUGUUGUUACUUUUUUAAUUGAUGAACUUUCAUUAAAUAACGGCAUUUCAAAUUAAACGUUUUAUUAGAGAUCAUGUAAAAAUCGGACAGUAACUUGUAUUUUUUACCAGAUUUGAAUUUAUUAUACUCAGUCUAAGACGUGUAGUUUCGGAGCACAUUUUACAGAGUACGGCUUAUCUGUUUGCGAUGCGAUGUACCAAUCGAGAUUUAUCGAAACCAUUUGAUAUUAUUGAAAAUAUGCCGAGGCGAUGUAUUCGACAGACUACCAGAGCCAAUCACCCUGAAAACACGCCAAAAGAGCAUUGGAAAGUCUCAUUAUAUUUUGCGUUCACACACGAAGACCAUAUGAUAAUGGAAUUGGAGAGUAGAGGAUGUCUGGUAUUAUCAGAAAAUAGCUUCUUUGUGUCGUAUCUGCUUCCUCGUGUUGUAGGACAUAUAACCAACGAAUAAUUCUCAACAUACAAAAUGACCUGGCAUGUAUUUGGCGGACAAUUUCAAUCGGGAGGUCGCUCGAUGGAGAACACGUACGCUUGUUUAUAACAUCUCGCGAGUGCUACCAUGCAGAUCUAUCAGUUUAUUAAGUCUGUUGAAAAUUAACAACGUCAGGUUAUCAUCGCUAGCAUUACUGCAUAUUGAUCGGGAUUUCAGUGUGAAUGUUGACAAAGUAAUAGAGAAGUUCGUUUCUGCUUAGACCCGAAGAGCAGAUUUUGGUCAAUGUUGAGUAAAUUCUGUAAUUCAAAAAUGUGUUGUUUAUGUAUUAAAUUAACCAUGAUUUACUCUAUUCAGAAGAUUCAAGUAUUAAUAGUUUUACGUUCAUAAAUUGUUUAUAAGUCCUAUCUACAUGUAGCUCCUCUAUAAACCGUCCUAUGACCGAAAACCGAAAAAAAACAUUUUUCUGCAUUAAAGGGUCCCAAAAAUUUUUUUUCGCCUCGCUCCGGUAGUUGUUUGCACAUCGUUUUCUUCUGGCUACGCCCCUGGCAAAUAACACCAAAUGCCAAAAAAAAAUAAAAAAAGUCAUAUUAUUGCCAUCUUUGUAACAGGUUAUAAAUACGGUAUAUUAUCAAUAAUUACCCACUGUUUCAAAUAAUACAAUUUAUAUCAUAUCCCUCAGUCACAUGAUUUUGAUAAAAAACAAAUGAAAAUUUAAUGAUGCAUUUACCAAUAUAAGUUAUGACUGAUCUCAAUUUAAAAUAAUAAAAGAUAAAAAAAGACUUGCCUUCCCAUUAAGAAUUAUCUAAAUAAAGAUUACUUUAGAUCAUAAUCAUCCUUGCAUAUCUGUUACUGUGGAUUCAUUAAUAUUUGUUGGAUACUAAUUUCGUGAAAUUCGUGGGUACAGGGGAACCACAAAUUUAAAUGUUCAACGAAUUACAAAUAUUCUAAAGGAAUGAAUGCAGACUUUACCAAAAUCACGAAAUUAAAUAUCCACGAAUAUGCCUCAUUUUUCCUAAAUUUUCCUCAAUCCACGAAAAUUGGUACCCACGAAAAUAAAUCAAUCAACAGUAACUGGCAAAGCCUCAUUUUAAAUAUCUGACAAACUUUUGUCUAUCCUUGUAUCAUUCUAGUUUUUCCCUGUUUUUCCAGAUAACGGUAUUGCAUUGCUGUUGUCCCUUUUUUAGAUGUACUAAGUAGGUAUUUUUCUUCCUUUUGUAGUUUUUAACACAAUCCUUUAAAAGAAAAAAAAUACUGUCAUGCCAGCAAUAAUAUACUAUCAGUAAAAUCUGAUUGAUUGGAUUAAGGCAAAGUUUUCUAUUCUUAAUAGCUGACCAUGCUGACUAUCAAAUCCAAAAUCUUCAUAGUUCAUACUUAUAAAUAAAUAUAAUUCUUGUUUCAUUUGGAGAAAAAUUGUCUGCAUACAUAUUUUACUGUAAAAUUUUCACAACAUAUAUUGUCUCUACAUUUGCUGUGUAGAGUUUCCAUUCCAAGUUGCAUUUUCAUCAUCAUCAUCAUCUAUCAUAUCUGUUAAUCGUCGUACAUUUCCAUCUGUCCUUAAUGGUCUUCUUUGGUAAGCACUGAAAUUAGAUCAAUAAAGUGAAGUUAAAAAUUGCAGAGAUGACAGACACUAAUUACAAAAAUGGAUUACAAGGUUAACAUAGUGUAUAAGUGGUUGUUUUGGAAUCAUAAGGUGAUGGCUUUUUAUAAACAGAGG
rnacentral:lncRNA from 1 species